CCCGUCAAUGCAGCUGAGUAUUCUAACGCUUACUCGCUAAUUUCUAUGGGUCAGCUGUGGAGGAACAGACCUGCCAAUCAUUUUCACAUGUAGCAAAAUUUGUCUGUCUACAAACAGGGUUACUUUGCCGUUGCUAUGGAGACUAAUCCGAGUCCACAACUCCCCCCACACUCCCUGUCCACAUUCUGUGUGUUGACACCGUCAGGCAGUUUCUGAAACUACCUGAUCACACAUUUAGCUAGACGCUGGUGGAGCCACUGGGAAGCCCUCGAAUGGAGUUCACUGUACGCGAGGAAGACCUUUGUGGAUGCAGAGUAUCGAUCCAGAAGAUGGGGCGGAGAUGAAGGGAGGAGAACCUGUGCUGAGAAAAAGUAAACACCGCUCCAGAUGACAAAACACUGAUCACCCCGGAGACCUAGACCUUCCCUGCUCUCUCUUUCUCUAUCAUUUUCUGUGACCUUUGGCAUCCCAACCUAAAGCCAUGAUCAGCCUCACAGUCUUCACCCACUGUGUCUAUUUAGCGGUGUGCUUAUGGUCACGAGGAUUCGUUCAUUUAGCCAUGUGAGCAUCACAACUGACAACAGCAAAACAUAUUUCAAGACAUUUCUAUGCAUAUACAUAUAAGGUAGGGCAGUGGCAGGGUUGAGCAAGAGGGGUUUAGGGAACACAGGCAUCUAAGCCAGUGUUUAAUAUCAAGUGUGCACAGCAGAGUUUAAUCAAUACCAGGCCUCUUUUGUUCCCAGCCUGCUGAGGAGAGCAGCGGCCAUUCACUCCAGAAAGGUUAAUGCUGGGGGUCAAGUGAUUUCACACCCACACCAGGAUCCUCCAUGUCACCACAGCUACCACGCCUCCAGCCACCAUGACACCAGCGUCCUGAUUUAUAGGUUGCAAGAGUGUGAUGGGCUUGGAGGUGAGAGGGGGGGCAGUGUUAUCUUAUGAUAAUGCUGUCCCUCUGUACUCCCACAAAUGAAGGGAAUGAGACAGCAAGAGAAGGGAAGCAAAGGGAGAGAACCAGAGCAGACUUAACCUCCCUUGCGCACACGUGGGCGUUAUUUUUCCUCUUCUGUCUUCUCUGUGACAUGGACCUUUUGUUUCAGCCAACCGGCUUCACAUCCACACAGAAUGACAGUCUUUAUUGUAGUAAUUGCUCCAAAUUUGCGUGGACACUUGAGAAAGGGCAGCGACGCUUAGCGCAACAGCAGUCAGUCAUUACGGAUUAGAAUAUUAAUAGUACCAAUGCAGCAAGAUUGCAAAUCUGUAAGAACUGUUUAUGAUGCCUAUUAACAAAUCACAAAACUUAUUUUGGCCAUUUGCCUUUAAUUUAAGAGUUGAAAACGAAAGCUUAAGUAAAUAUUCCAUCUGAAGUCUCGCUGUCUGUAGGGAUAAAUCUAUAUAAUGGGGAUGGCGUGGUUAAGAAGGUGCCAGAGAAGGAAGAGGCGCAAGAGGAAUUAACACGAGGACUUAUCUCGCACGGGCCAUUAUUUAAAGCCUCACUAUUCUAAACACACCACCCCUCCAAUGAGAAGAACAAUAAAUAAUCCUUCCAAAUAAAAUCUAUUCCCUGCAAAUUCUCCAGGAUACAGCCCAUCAUUAUCAGUAGGAGGGGACAGACAGCAAUUAAUAACACAGCCACCCGUCUCUCAGAGAGCAUCCAUCUUAUUUUCAUUAGGUCUAUUGCUGUGUGCAUAUGUGUGCUGGCUUGUUUGUGAGUGAGUGAGAGUGUGUGUGUAUGUGCGUGCAUGUAUGAGUAUGUAAGAGACACAGUGUAACUGCAUGCAUAUUUAUGUGUUGUUGAAUGAUUCCACUCAGCCUCACUGCCAAAUUCCCUUAUAGUCCAGCCUUUACUCUGUGGGCCUGGAUGUAUGCCGUUUGAGGUAAUUUUUUGUGAUCCUGCCUUUAAUUUUCUAAUGCCUUAUUAAUGCUCUACCAGAACUACCUUUGAUUCACUUCUCUGGAUCUCCUGCAUUUUUUAUCUCAUGUUUGGAGGCAGUAUUCUCUCUCCAAAAGGGCAACUGCGCUAGCAUUAGCAUCCUCUGGGUCUCUGGGGGUGACAAUAGCAAUUAGCUUCAAUGACGGAGCGAUAUGAGAGGCUGCUGAUUGACAGUUGCCCCCAGAGAAGGGGCUGACUGAGGUGACAGCUGGGCUCUCCACUCUCCCUGGCUGCCCCAGGCUCUGGCCCUGUGUCAUCCCAUGCGCCAGCCAAACUCUUCCCCAGCACACAGUCACAUGUCUAGUUACAUCCUGUGCGGUGGCCAAUCCCUUCCCCAUCACUCAAGCUUAUGUCUUGUUAUAUCCUGUGUGUCAGUUAAACCCUUUCACCUCGGUCCAUGCCUGUUUCUUGUUAUUCUAAUACAGCACAAUGUAACACACAAUGCUGACCUUUCUUUUUCCCUUUCCCUCAUCAUACUCCGUGUGUGCGCACACCCAAAGUGUGUGUGUGUGUGUGUGUGUGUGUGUGUGUGUGUGUGUGUGUGUGUGUGUGUGUGUGUGUGUGUGUGUGUGUGUGUGUGUGUGUGUGUGUGUGUGUGUAUGAGAAUGUGUCUGUACUUCCAUCGCAUCUCAUGCAGUACAGCCUGAUGGUUUGUAUCUCCUCGAUGUCAAAGCAACAACUGCAGCAGCCCUGACACAUCAGUGAGAGUUUCUUCAGUAGAAGCCUGAGGAAAUGAAGCGCUCCCCGUCUAUUGAUCCCCCUACACUCCACUGUGCAUCAGGGAGACUUUGUUUUCACUGCCUAACAGAAACACAGCUCCAUCAAUACUGUACAGUACUCCUCGGCACCAGCUCCUCUCCUCACACAGUAGCGUCCCAGGAGGCCUGUGAUAGACUCCACUAACUGUACACAAACUGUACAGAGAGAGAAUACAAUAUGUUUGUGUGUGUUGUGAUGCAUUUGUCAAAGCGCAGAGGGGGCCCUGGGAUGGCAACGGCAAUUUAAGGAGUAUAAAAGACAUAUUGGCAACAAUGGUUUGUGAAUGAUGUAUUAUGUAAUCUGCCCCAGGAGUAUAUCUCCUCUACUCCAUCUCCCUUACUUUUUCUUCCCUUCUGUCUUUCUAGCUCUGUUUUUCCCAUCUUUAUCUUCCUCACUCUGUUUGUGUGUGUGUCUCUGGUAUGGCUUUUAAGGCUCACUUCCACAUGCAUCAAAAUAAGUGCCAAUAAACAAAUCACUGCACUAAA